rnacentral:rRNA from 1 species
AGCGAACGCUGGCGGCGUACUUAACACAUGCAAGUCGAACGAGGAUCAUCGGGUUAGCAAUAAUUCGGUGGUCCUAGUGGCGCACGGGUGAGUAACACGUAGACGACCUGCCUCGAAGUGGGGAAUAACGUCCUGAAAGGGACGCUAAUACCGCAUAAGCUCUCUAUCGUGGGGUAGAGAGGAAACUUUCGUAAGAGAGGCUUUGAGAGGGGUCUGCGGCGGAUUAGCUAGUUGGGUAGGAACGGCUGCCCAAGGCGACGAUCCGUAGCUGGUCUGAGAGGACGGCCAGCCACACUGGGACUGAGACACGGCCCAGACUCCUACGGGAGGCAGCAGUGAGGAAUAUUCCACAAUGGGCGCAAGCCUGAUGGAGCGACGCCGCGUG